UACGAAGGGGUCUAGUGUUGUUCGGAAUUACUGGGCGUAAAGCGCACGUAGGCGGAUUAGUAAGUCAGGGGUGAAAUCCCGGGGCUCAUCCUCGGAACUGCCUUUGAUACUGCUGAUCUCGAGUCCGGAAGAGGUGAGUGGAAUUCCUAGUGUAGAGGUGAAAUUCGUAGAUAUUAGGAAGAACACCAGUGGAUAAGGCGGUUCACUGGUCCGGUACUGACGAUGAGGUGCGUAAGCGUGGGGAGCAAACAGG
rnacentral:rRNA from 1 species